CCCGCGGAGGGCGACGCGCCAGCUGCUGACGCCCCACUUCCGGCUCCAGGGUCAGUGGGCGGGCCCGGAGAGCGCUUCCGGCCGAAGGGGUUGGGUGGGCCACGCCUGGUCUGCGCAGAGGGUGAAGUCAGGGCGGCUGGCUAAGGCUCCUGAGUGCUGACAGAAAGCUUCGAGGAUCCCUGUGGACCUGUGGCUCAAGUGGAGCCGGCGGAAAACCCUGAGGAGCUUGGGACAGCCACGGCGUAGGUGGAGCCGGCGUCGCUGACUCGGAGCGUGGGCGAGUUUCCUCUUAGCCGGUGCCUCAGGGAUUGACGCCAAGACUCCCCCGCUUUUUUCAGUUGUCUUGGGUGUGAAUGAAUCCCAGGCUAAACCUUAGCCUCCCAGCCUGCCCAAACAGAACUUGUUUUAACACAUGACUCUCGUAUCACCACCUUUACUCCGUUCUACUGUGUUUGUCAAAGUGUAGUCUCUGAACAUCUGCUUAAAAUCCACCUGAGACGGUGGUUGAAAAUCCAAAUCGCAGGGCCUUAGUGCAAGACGCCUCUUGAAGCACUAGGUUAUUUUUUUUCUUUUAGAGUUAGAAAAUAAGCAGUGUACAACAAAGAAAGGAACCUGAAAAGGAGCUUAGCUCUGCAGGAAUUUAAAUUCUGAGUCUUUGCUACAAUCUUGAUCUGUACUGCCAGAACUAACACGGACAUCAGUGAGACAGCACCCUAAAUGUUCUGUUUGUUGAUCCCGAAGACUUAGAGAGUAGAGAAAUAGCAAUCUUGAUAGCUUGGGAGCAUUGGGUCCAACAGAUUUACUCCUUUAUUAAGCACGAACUAAUCUGUUUUGGAAGCAAACAUGCUAUUUAUCAACACUGCAGAUGUUCUGUGCAGGAAAUGUAGCAGCAGGAGCUGUGAGCUGGCUGUUUCCUUAAUGCUGAAUGGGUGUGGACGAAGGAAAGCGGGAGUCUGACGGAAAGCCGUCUGGUCAGCAGCCCGAGAAGUUGAAGUAAAGAGCCAUGUCUUGGGGACUGCCGUCAGUAGAAGAAUCCAACGGAAGGGGGAUGUGUACGGAAGCCCCAUGUGUAUGGAUGGGGCUGGAGUGAUUCAGGCCUCAACAGCAGUCCUUUCAACCUCACUGGAAUGUGGAGGCUGUAUAGAUCAAAAGCUCUAAAGAUUACAAGAUAACUUUGCUAAAAGGAGCCAUACCAUCUCUGAUAGCUGACCACUAGGUUGUUCUCCAGCGUAUCAAAGCUACAUUACAUUGCUUGAAGUUGUGCUUCAAUUAAUGUAAAAAACUUCAUGAACCACAUAUAGUCACUGAAGUAACCUGCUGUCUUCAUUCUCUAUCAUCCUCUGCCAAAGUAGUUAUUUUGCAGUGACAGAACUUCUCUGCUGCCCUGAACUUCUCUGCUGUCCUUUGAACUUUGAUGUUAGUAAUUCUUUCUUCCCAUCAAAUGUUGGCUCUAAAUCCACAGAACUAUUUGAGAAACCAGAUACAAAAUUAUGAGAGAUACAUACAAGGAAGGGACAACUGCCCUGGAUGUUGACAUGUCCAAAUAUAAUGACUAAACCGGCUGCAGCCAUCUUGCAACCAGGGAGGAGCCAGCUUGAAAACAAAACCAGAACAAUGAGAUGACACAGCAAGAAGUGGAAAGAACCUGGGUCCUUGAUGAUGCUAUUGAGCUGAUGGAUUAAACCUGGAGUGUAUCUACUAUGGGCUUCCUAGAAGAGUCUGGCUUUGUUUACCCAGGCUGGAUUGCAGUGGCUGCUCACAGUGAGAUCAUCACACACUACAACCUCAAACUCCUGGCCUCCAAUGAUCUUCCUGACUCAGCCUCACAAGUAGCUGGCAUUACAGAUAUGUUCUGGGAUAUGAGCAAAGUUGGAAGUCACUUCGGAGGAAGAUGGGCAUUCCAGGUCUCUCCCAUAAGUCUCAAGGACAUGGCCAAGGACCACAUCUAUCUUCUACACUGAAGACCCACUGCCUAAUACAGUGCCUGCUACAUGUUGAAUUGUCAAUAAAUAUUUGUUGAAACAAUUGAUUAAUAAAUAUUGUUACAGUCCUCCAUUUUAUAUUAAUAGAUGAGGAAGCUGUGGUUAAAAUGUGACUAAUGUCAUAGAAAUAGUAGGAAAGCCAAGCUUCCAAGGGUCAUUCCAGGGCCCUUGUCAGGAUGUUAAAUCCUGUGUCAGUGCUACCGUAUCAACAAACUGUCCCUUUCCCAACUUCCUAUUCCUAUUUGGGAUCUACUUCCACCAUAUUCUUUGGGUUCCUGCUGGUGUAAGUCAGCCAGAUCUUGCAGCUCCUUUGCCGUUUAGACCUCUCCUCCCUUUUCAGACACUGCACUUACCCAGCUGGGCCAUACUGAAACUUGAUCCUGGUACUGCCUGGUUUCCAGGACAGAAGUGGGGGCAGAUUUCCAGCACAGCCAGCAUUGUUUUUUAAGACACCUGACUUAAUUGAAGGUUCAUGCAAGGAGAGGGUCUUCUAUCUUCCGACAAGGGAGUGGGCCACCCCUGUAGGCUAAGAUGCUCAGGAGAAGCCAGAAGAUCCAUAUGCUUAGCCACCUGUGUCUAACAGGUAUCCCCAUCCUGAAUCUCCCCAUCCUACUCCUUUCCUGUCAGGACCCUGACUCUGUUGAAGGGAACUUGCCCAGGCUAAGAAUUCACUUCUCCGAAUCAGCCAACACCUGAUUGAUAUGGAGGCACAAAACUGUGGUACUACUUAUGCUUAAUUAAGAUGUGUGCCUGGUCUUCACUUCAGUCUGCCCUCUCGCUGCCAGUGAUGAGGGACAGGGGCUUUUUAAAGGCUUCCAAGGAGGCCCUUUGACUCCCACACUUGGGUUUCAACUGGUCUUAAUUGAUCUGAUCCUGUCAUCUAUACUUCUCAGUGCAUCCGGAUGCUUGGGAAUAGCCUCCCCACUCAAUAAUCUUUCAAGUUAUUCUUUCUCCUGUACUCUUAAAUACUAGAAACAUCUACUUAUAUUCUGUCCUGGUUCACCAGAAGUGGAAAUAUUAGCAAUUGCAUUAUAGCUGCAUGCCAGAGACUAUCUUCUAUCAAGAGAUUCUGACGGAUCUGCUGGGAUCGUUUUUUUGGAAGCAGAUUCUGAAGGAGAGGUGAAAAAAAGAAGGCAUGCCCUGGAGGUUUGGAGGAAGAACUGCAAGCCAGCGUCCUCAGCAAGACCUGUACCAGCCCCAAAUCACCACCCUUUGCUCCAGUGGGUAGGAAGUUACUUAAGGUGUGGGAGCAGCAUGAGUGACUACAGAUGGGAGGUUAUUAUCACCAUCUCUAUUUCCUGGUAUCCCCCAGCGUUCUGAGAAGGAUAUAGUAGCUGCUGUCUCUCAACCAAAGAAACUGAUGAGGGUAGUAGGAGUUUGCUUUGGGGAAAAGUCUGAACACUGGGACUCAACAGAUGUGGAAGGUAGAGAUCCGAGGGUACAGUCAAAAUCUUCACAGCCUUGAAUAGUAUGGACAAGGAGAAAAAUUCCACUCCCCAAAUCAUAGAAUAACAUGAUGAACGGGUAUUUCUAGAAGGUUGCAAAAAAAUUUUGAGUAAAUAAAGUGAAAGCAGUAACUUUAAGAAACUCCCUACUAGGCCGGGCGUGGUAGCUCACGCUUGUAAUCCUAGCACUCUGGGAGGCCAAGG